rnacentral:rRNA from 1 species
UGGCUCAGGAUGAACGCUGGCGGCGUGCCUAAUACAUGCAAGUCGAGCGAAUGGAUUGAGAGCUUGCUCUCAAGAAGUUAGCGGCGGACGGGUGAGUAACACGUGGGUAACCUGCCCAUAAGACUGGGAUAACUCCGGGAAACCGGGGCUAAUACCGGAUAAUAUUUUGAACUGCAUGGUUCGAAAUUGAAAGGCGGCUUCGGCUGUCACUUAUGGAUGGACCCGCGUCGCAUUAGCUAGUUGGUGAGGUAACGGCUCACCAAGGCAACGAUGCGUAGCCGACCUGAGAGGGUGAUCGGCCACACUGGGACUGAGACACGGCCCAGACUCCUACGGGAGGCAGCAGUAGGGAAUCUUCCGCAAUGGACGAAAGUCUGACGGAGCAACGCCGCGUGAGUGAUGAAGGCUUUCGGGUCGUAAAACUCUGUUGUUAGGGAAGAACAAGUGCUAGUUGAAUAAGCUGGCACCUGAC